rnacentral:lncRNA from 1 species
AUUAUCUUGAAUAUUAUUAUAGAUAGAGAUAAACUGUAAACAGGAAUAAUGUUCAGCAAAGUAAGAUUUACAAAUAAGUCAACAUGACGGAAAUGGUCAGUUGACCCCUUUAGGAAUUAUUGCCCUUUAUAGUCAAUUUUUAACCAUUUUUCGUAAAUCUUAGUAAUCUUUUACAAAAAUCUUCUCCUCUGAAACUACUGGCCAAAUACUUCCAAACUUUAACUGAAUGUUCCUUAGGGGUAUCUAGUUUGUAAAUUGUAUCCGAAGUUGUGAUCUAUCAACAAACAUGGUCGCCAUUGCUAAAAAUAGAACAUAGGGGUCAAAUGCAGUUUUUGGCUUAUAACUCAAAAACCAAAGCAUUUAGAGCAAAUCUGACAUGAAUAAUAUUGUUUAUCAGGUCAAGAUCUAUCUGCCCUGAAAUUUUCAGAUGAAUCAGACAACCUGUUGUUGGGUUACUGCCCCUGAAUUGGUAAUUUUAAAGAAAUUUUGCUGUUUUUGGUUAUUAUCUUGAAUAUUAUUAUAGAUAGAGAUAAACUGUAAACAGCAAUAAUGUUCAGCAAAGUAAGAUUUACAAAUAAGUCAAAAUGACGGAAAUGGUCAGUUGACCCCUUUAGGAGUUAUUGCCCUUUAUAGUCAAUUUUUAACCAUUUUUCUUAAAUCUUAGUAAUCUUUUACAAAAAUCUUCUCCUCUGAAACUACUGGGCCAAAUACUUCCAAACCUUAACUGAAUGUUCCUUAGGGUAUCUAGUUUGUAAAUUGUAUCCGAAGUUAUGAUCUAUCAACAAACAUGGUCGCCAUUGCUAAAAAUAGAACAUAGGGGUCAAAUGCUGUUUUUGGCUUAUAACUCAAAAACCAAAGCAUUUAGAGCAAAUCUGAC